UUCCGAGCGAAGGUUAAAAUGGACAAGAAGGUACUGUUGUAAAAUGGAGAAUUGAGAAGCAUAAAUAGCCUCUACAACAAGGAGAUAAUGCAGGAACGAAGAACUCAUGUCAAGCAUACAAAGUCAAUGUUUCCGGUGAUUAGUUGCAUCCUCUGUUCGGUGAUUCGGGUGAAUGUUUUGACCAGCUGGACGAUGUGAACGCAAGAUAAAUAGAACAGACAUAAAGUACAGCCCAGUGAAAGGAACAAGUUCAUCGCAAGAAGAAGAGUUUUAAUGCUACCACUGUCCAGAACUACUAAGUCUGCUGUAGCCAUGAUGUGAUCAUAUGAGUGCUUCACCGGUCUGGACAAUGCUCGAAAGUCCCCCAAAAAGGCCUAUUUCCAUAAACUACGACUCGGGUUACAUCAACAACAGCCAAGGACACUCCUAAUUGAUUCGAAUGGACACAUCUCUACGACCCGACUAAACCUCUGCAGAACAAGACUUUUUAACUGUAAAGUAUUCUCAUUUCAAAAAACCUAUAAACUAUAAAAGUACUUUUUUAUAUGAUCAAAUACCAGUAUAUUACAAUGUCUGUCUGUAAGCUAGAAUCUUAGAAAAAUCACAUGGUUUUGACUUAUUAAAUGAUUGAUAAGACCUUGCAGAUAUUAACUUUCAUUUUCUUAAAUAAUUUGUUAUAUUUGCAAAUAUUGCAUAAAAUAUUAGACUCCAUGUAACAUAUAUCCCCACACCUCCAAGUUGAUGAGUGUUAACUCCUUUUUUUCCCAUUUUCUUUGUUUAAACAUUUAUUGAUAACUUAGUUUUUAUUUGCAGCAAUAUAUGAAAAAUUAAGAAACCAAUCUUAAAUGUAAAAACACUGCAUUAGGAGAUGAAUGCAUGGGUCAUAGAAAUGAUAAAAUACACCAAACAAUAUUCAAUUAUGUCGUAUAUGAAAAUAUAUAAAGACAACAUAUACCCCAUGUAUUACAAUUUUUAUAUAACAAAAUUACUUGGAUGGAAAGUUAUUUCGAUGUGGGUUUUAUUUUAAUCUGUGUUAUGUAACUAAUAUAUAAUUGGAAUUAGCUUUUAUAUCAUAAGUAAAAUGCUGGUAUUGAUGAGAAUUGUAAGGUGAAUGAUCUGUGUGAUACUUUGUAUUUUAUACAUUCAUGCUACAAAAAGCAAGUACAUGUACAUGUAGUAAUACUUGUCAUUUAUAAACAAUGUAUAUUUUACUUCAUGUCUUGGAUUUAAAAAUAUUAAUGUAGGUAAAGUAGUGAAAUGUAGGAAGGUAAACCGUGUGUAAAGAAGAAUAUUCAUCAGGAAUGAAGUGUGUUGCAAUCAGCAUAAUUAAUUACCGGUAAAUGUGUACAUCAUAGUUUUGCACAUGAUUUGACAGGCUGCUCCAUUGUUAGCUUUUUACUGGCCAACAAGCUUUUCAUAUCUCCCUCUGGGUCAUCUCUUAAAUACUGACAGUCUUAUGAUAUUAAAAUCUGAUCAGUUGGUACAUCAUGGGUGGAAAUGAAAAGUUCACUUUGGACUUAAUGGAUUAUCAAAAAAAAUGAUAUCAAAUCCUGUUCUAUUGUAAAACAUUAGAUUAUACAUGUAUUACUAACAAAGAAAAGGUUUAUCCCAACUUGUAAGUGGGUCACUUUGACCUCAUUUUGGAAUUUAUUGACAUAUUCAAAUCAAAUCUGGGUCAUACCUCUAUAGUCAACUAGUAUCUUGUAGUGUAUAUAUUUUUUUUUUUUUAAAGAUGGAUACUUUAGACUUUUCAAAAAUAUUUUAUGGUGUACAUAUUCAUUGUAGUUCAAAACAAAUUGAGACAAGUGUAUCAUGUUCAUGUAACAGUGAAGUUUUCAUUGUUUAUUCAUGUACGUGCAGUUAUUUUGUAAAUUGCAUUCAUAUUUUUUAAAAAAGUAAGAUCUUUGUUGCAUUUUUAAAGGGAGAUUUGAUAGGCAUUUAAUCGAGAUGAAAAAAAAUACAAAUGUAAAGAUUUCUAUUGGAGUUUUUUUUCUUGUGCAAUUUUAUCAUUUUUUAAACUAAAGUCCCUAAUAAGGGAAUUGCCAUAUGGAUGUUUCUCGAUUAUUGUAUCUUGGCUGUAUUUUAUUUAUUAUUGGAAACAAUUUCAGAUUUUUGAACAAAAUAAAUUUGGAACUGUUUGAAACUGUUUUGUUUUUACAUAAAGUAGAAACCUUGCUCAGCUUUUGUGAAAGCAAAAAUAUAAAAAGUUUCAGUAAGUUUCAGUUGCGGAAACCCUUUGUAAACAAUAUGUUUCCCAAUUGUAUAUGGAGGUUGAAACUAUGCAGAAACUUCAAGUUUCAGUAAGUUUCCAUCGCGGAAACCAUUUGUAAACAAUAUGUAUCCCAAACGUAUAUGGAGAUUGAAACUAUGCAGAAACUUCAAGUUUCAGUAAGUUUCCGUUGCGGAAACCAUUUGGAUUCAUGGACAGCCUAAGUUUCAGCACUGCGGAAACUUAAUGAAACUUGAAGUUUCCGUGCUGAAACCUGUCGGAAACUUAAAGUAACCUUAAGUUUCCGCAGAGUUUCCAAAGGGUUUCCGCAGCGCUGAAACCAGAUAUUUCAUCCAGUGUUA